CCCAGUGUUCGGACUACCUGU
rnacentral:miRNA from 1 species